GAGAGGUUUAGAAGACCUGCUAACUCUUCAAUCUGGCAAAUAUACCAGCCCU
rnacentral:tRNA from 1 species